UACGGGAGGAUGCGAGCGUUAUCCGGAUUUAUUGGGUUUAAAGGGUGCGUAGGCGGACAGUCAAGUCAGCGGUAAAAAUGCGGUGCUCAACGCCGUACAGCCGUUGAAACUGGCAGUCUUGAGUGGGCGGAGAAGUAUGCGGAAUGCGUGGUGUAGCGGUGAAAUGCAUAGAUAUCACGCAGAACUCCGAUUGCGAAGGCAGCAUACCGGCGCCCUACUGACGCCGAGGCACGAAAGCGUGGGUAUCGAACAGG
rnacentral:rRNA from 1 species